rnacentral:rRNA from 1 species
GACCAGACUCCUACGGGAGGCAGCAGUGGGGAAUAUUGCACAAUGGGGGGAACCCUGAUGCAGCGACGCCGCGUGGGCGAGGAAGUAUUUCGGUAUGUAAAGCCCUAUCGGCAGGGAAGAAGAAAUGACGGUACCUGAAUAAGAAGCACCAGCUAAAUACGUGCCAGCAGCCGCGGUAAUACGUAGGUGGCAAGCGUUGUCCGGAUUUACUGGGUGUAAAGGGCGUGCAGCCGGAGAGACAAGUCAGAUGUGAAAUCCACGGGCUCAACCCGUGAACUGCAUUUGAAACUGUUUCCCUUGAGUGUCGGAGAGGUAAGCGGAAUUCCUUGUGUAGCGGUGAAAUGCGUAGAUAUAAGGAAGAACACCAGUGGCGAAGGCGGAUUACUGGACGAUAACUGACGGUGAGGCGCGAAAGCGUGGGGAGCAAACAGGAUUAGAUACCCUUGUA